CCCCUCUUACAAAGCAGAAAAGGGAAGACUGCCUAGUCUUGUACAUUACGAAUUAUUCUAUUUGUAUAUCACAGAAUAUUUUCAUAUAUAUUUUAAAUGAAUCUAUUCUUAGGUGAAUGCCUGUUAGCACAUUUGGCUCCAGGGAGAGAAUUAUAAAGUUUGCUUUGUUUUUUAGCAAAGUUUUAAGCAUACGGCCAAGACCACUAAAUAUAGAAGAUAAUACUUCUGCCCCUAGAAUGCCACUAGUUAACCACUUGACUCAUUUACUGACACGAAUACACAACGAGUAUAUUUGCUGUAUCAUCUGUUUUAGUACAAUUUGUAACUACUUGUUUCAGUCUAACCUGCCCGGUGUAUAUUCAAAAUUCCUAUAUGCUGUUUCACUUUAGUACUGACGUCUUUCUUUCUUUCUUUCUUUCUUUUUUCCUUUCUUUUUUUCUUUCUUUUUUUUUUUUUUUUUUUUUUUUUUGGCUUGGGGGAAAUUUUAGAAAAGGUUGUUUUUGUCUCCUGCUUCCAAAGUUAAAAAAAGAAAAAAAAGAAAAAGAAAAAAAAAAGUAUUUAUUAUAUUUUUUGCAGAUGUUUCCAUUGAAAUUCUCAUAAUCUUUUUUUGUAAAGAAAGAUGAAGAAAUGGAUUAAAGAUUUUUAAUAUUUGAAAAGGUAAAUAGAAAUAACUUAUUUGUAAUAUAGUUCAGUUUAUUUAUUCGUGUUCCCUUAAUGCUUUUAUGUGCACUAUCACUUUAAUUUGAACAGAAUCUUUGUCAAGUUUUGGGGGGUUUUUUGUUUUGGCUUUGUUUUUUGUUUUUGUUUUUAAGGAAAAAGGUCAAAUGCAUAUUUUAAGUAAUCGGGAUGUAAAUCGAUGGCCUACCUGCAUUCCCAAAUGUUAUUUUGAAAACAUUUCUAAUAUGAAACAAACGGCAAAAAAAAAAAGUGAAAGCCUUUAGAGAGAGGAGAGUGGUUUUAUGGCAUAACGAUUUGGAUUUCCACAGGAUUAUCUACCUAGAUGGGUGUGUGGACAGGAAAAUGUAAAUAGAUGAAUGUUUCCCAUAAUGUAAAAAGAGCAAAUUAAUAAAAUAAUUAAUGCACUGCU
rnacentral:lncRNA from 1 species